rnacentral:rRNA from 1 species
UACGUAGGGUGCAAGCGUUAAUCGGAAUUACUGGGCGUAAAGCGUGCGCAGGCGGUUUUGUAAGUCAGAUGUGAAAUCCCCGGGCUUAACCUGGGAACUGCGUUUGAAACUACAAGGCUAGAGUGUGGCAGAGGGGGGGUAGGAAUUCCACGUGUAGCAGUGAAAUGCGUAGAGAUGUGGAGGAACACCGAUGGCGAAGGCAGCCCCCUGGGUCAAGACUGACGCUCAUGCACGAAAGCGUGGGGAGCAAACAGG